AACGAACGCUGGCGGCAGGCUUAACACAUGCAAGUCGAACGCCCCGCAAGGGGAGUGGCAGACGGGUGAGUAACGCGUGGGAAUCUACCCAGUUCUACGGAACAACUGAGGGAAACUUCAGCUAAUACCGUAUACGCCCCAAGGGGGAAAGAUUUAUCGGAAUUGGAUGAGCCCGCGUUAGAUUAGCUAGUUGGUGGGGUAAUGGCCUACCAAGGCGACGAUCUAUAGCUGGUCUGAGAGGAUGAUCAGCCACACUGGGACUGAGACACGGCCCAGACUCCUACGGGAGGCAGCAGUGGGGAAUAUUGGACAAUGGGCGCAAGCCUGAUCCAGCCAUGCCGCGUGAGUGAUGAAGGCCUUAGGGUUGUAAAGCUCUUUCAGUAGGGACGAUAAUGACGGUACCUACAGAAGAAGCCCCGGCUAACUUCGUGCCAGCAGCCGCGGUAACAC
rnacentral:rRNA from 1 species